GACGAACGCUGGCGGCGUGCUUAACACAUGCAAGUCGAACGGAAAGGCCCCUUUGGGGGUCCUCGAGUGGCGAACGGGUGAGUAACACGUGAGUAACCUGCCCUUGACUUCGGGAUAACUUCAGGAAACUGGGGCUAAUACCGGAUAGGAAUCCUUGCUGCAUGGUGGGGGUUGGAAAGCUUCGGCGGUUUUGGAUGGACUCGCGGCUUAUCAGCUUGUUGGUGGGGUAGUGGCUUACCAAGGCUUUGACGGGUAGCCGGCCUGAGAGGGCGACCGGCCACAUUGGGACUGAGAUACGGCCCAGACUCCUACGGGAGGCAGCAGUGGGGAAUAUUGCACAAUGGGCGGAAGCCUGAUGCAGCAACGCCGCGUGCGGGAUGACGGCCUUCGGGUUGUAAACCGCUUUCAGCAGGGGCGAAGCUUGUGGUGACGGUACCUGCAGAAGAAGCACCCGCUAACUACGUG
rnacentral:rRNA from 1 species